UGGUUCUGGCAUCGAUGAAGAACGCAGCGAAAUGCGAUAAGUAAUGUGAAUUGCAGAAUUCAGUGAAUCAUCGAAUCUUUGAACGCACAUUGCGCCCAUUAGUAUUCUAGUGGGCAUGCCUGUUCGAGCGUCAUUUCAACCCUUAAGCCUGGCUUAGUGUUGGGAGUCUACGCCGGCGGUGUUACCCUGUAGCCCGCCUGUAGUUCCCCAAAUCCAACGGCGGAGCUGUUGUAUCCUCUGAGCGUAGUAAUCAUCUUCUCGCUUCUGUAGGUGCGACGGUCCCUGCCGUUAAACCCCCAAAUUAUACUGGUUGACCUCGGAUCAGGUAGGAAUACCCGCUGA
rnacentral:misc_RNA from 1 species